rnacentral:rRNA from 1 species
ACCCGCUGAACUUAAGCAUAUCAAUAAGCGGAGGAAAAGAAACCAACAGGGAUUGCCCUAGUAACGGCGAGUGAAGCGGCAACAGCUCAAAUUUGAAAUCUGGCUCUUUUAGAGUCCGAGUUGUAAUUUGCAGAGGGCGCUUUGGCGUUGGCAGCGGUCCAAGUUCCUUGGAACAGGACGUCACAGAGGGUGAGAAUCCUGUACGUGGUCGCUAACCUUCGCCGUGUAAAGCCCCUUCGACGAGUCGAGUUGUUUGGGAAUGCAGCUCUAAAUGGGAGGUAAAUUUCUUCUAAAGCUAAAUACUGGCCAGAGACCGAUAGCGCACAAGUAGAGUGAUCGAAAGAUGAAAAGCACUUUGGAAAGAGAGUCAAAUAGCACGUGAAAUUGUUGAAAGGGAAGCGCUUGCAGCCAGACUUGCCUGUAGUUGCUCAUCCGGGCUUUUGCCCGGUGCACUCUUCUGCGGGCAGGCCAAGCAUCAAGUUUGGGCGGUAUGGAUAAAGAUCUCUGUCAAUGUACCUCUUUUCGGGGAGGCCUUAUAGGGGAGAUGUCAUGCAACCAGCCUGGACUGAGGUCCGGCGCAUCUGCUAGGAUGCUGGCGUAAUGGCUGUAAGCGGCCCGUCUUGAAACACGG